rnacentral:rRNA from 1 species
ACAAAAACAUCUUUUCUUGUUAGUUUUUGAAGUAUGGCCUGCCCACUGACUUAGAGUUGAAGGGCCGCGGUAUUUUGACCGUGCAAAGGUAGCAUAAUCAUUAGUUCUUUAAUUGUGAUCUGGUAUGAAUGGCUUGACGAGACAUAAGCUGUCUUAGAGGUAUUGGUUUAUUGAAUUUGGUUUUUGAGUUAAAAUUCUUAAAUGUUUUUAUGGGACGAGAAGACCCUAUAGAGUUUGACAAUUUUCCUAUUUAUUCGUUGUUUGUGUUUAUUUACAUUGAGUGGGAGUGAAUUGUUUUGUUGGGGUGAUGGGAGGAAUAUUGUUUAACUCCUCUUUGUUUUUAUAUAUUUAUGUAUAUAUUUUUGAUCCAUUUAUUUUGAUUAUAAGAUUAAAUUACCUUAGGGAUAACAGCGUUAUCUUCCUUGAGAGUUCUUAUUGGCGGGGGGGUUUGCGACCUCGAUGUUGGAUUAAGGUGAAUUUCGGUGCAGGAGCUGAAAGUGAUUAGGUCUU